rnacentral:lncRNA from 1 species
AUAAUGGAAUAACAGAAGAAUUUCACCAAGUAUAGGGUAUCCCGCGUAUACAGGUUAUUCCAACAGAAUAAUAAAGAAUGGAAUAACAAAAGAAUUUCACCAAUAAGAAAGAAGGAAUACCCCUAACGAGUACAACAAAUAAUAUUUCUUACCGUAAAAGAAGAGUAUUUUGACUGGUAGAGCGAGGAUAUACUCAAAGAAAACUUGCACUACGCUCAAAGC